AUUGAACGCUGGCGGCAGGCCUAACACAUGCAAGUCGAGCGGAUGAAGGGAGCUUGCUCCUGGAUUCAGCGGCGGACGGGUGAGUAAUGCCUAGGAAUCUGCCUGGUAGUGGGGGAUAACGUCCGGAAACGGGCGCUAAUACCGCAUACGUCCUGAGGGAGAAAGUGGGGGAUCUUCGGACCCCACGCUAUCAGAUGAGCCUAGGUCGGAUUAGCUAGUUGGUGGGGUAAAGGCCUACCAAGGCGACGAUCCGUAACUGGUCUGAGAGGAUGAUCAGUCACACUGGAACUGAGACACGGUCCAGACUCCUACGGGAGGCAGCAGUGGGGAAUAUUGGACAAUGGGCGAAAGCCUGAUCCAGCCAUGCCGCGUGUGUGAAGAAGGUCUUCGGAUUGUAAAGCACUUUAAGUUGGGAGGAAGAGCAGUAAGUUAAUACCUUGCUGUUUUGACGUUACCAACAGAAUAAGCACCGGCUAACUUCGUG
rnacentral:rRNA from 1 species